ACUAGUGACUCUCACAAAACUUUAUUCCAAAAUAGACUACAUAAAUUUGACAUAUUUAUUUGAUGAUCCAACACACAUUUUAUAUAUAAAAUUGUGACUCCAAUAAAUUUCCAACAAAAGAUUUAAUACCAAAUUGAUGGAGAUUCCACACCAAAUUAGUGUAACUAUUAGAGAUGGUCUAAAGAAAUUGAAAUAAAACCCUAAAUUUAGUUUUGGAAUUUUUUUUUCAAUAUUGUAUCAAUACAAGUAGUUAUAUUGUUCAAUUAUUAGUUCAAAAUUAGAAUUGGUCUAAAUUACUGUUUUACUUUUUUAGUUAUUUAUUUUUGCAUUAGUACUAAUUAUUUGGUUUACGUACCAUUUGCAUUUUUAAAUUCCCAAAAUAAAAAUUGUAAAUCAUUAUUGUAAAUUAUGUUUAACCAUUUGCAUUUUUCAUAUUCCUAAAACAAAAAUUGCAACUUUCUUUAUCAAAGGAACUUUAACGAGUAAAUAAAAACUUUAAUAAACAUAAUUGGGAGUACAUAAUUGCUCAAAAUUUAAAUUGAUUUACUAAAAAUCAUUUUAUAAGAUGUGAAUUAAGACUUUAUUUAACCAGUAUAUUUUAUAAAGUAAUUAAUUCACAUCAUUCGAAUCAUAAAGAAUCAUUAUUGUAGGAAAUUAUGUAUCAAAAAUAUCCCUACACCAACUUAACCAAGGUCAAAACAGACUUUUUGCAAAUUCACGCAGAAUGAGAUUUGUAAUCCCUAAAACAAUUGUGUAUUAGUUUGAUAUAAAACCAUCGUGCGAAUGAUCGAGAAAUCCUUCGAUCUUCAACAUGAAUCCCUAGCAGCUAGGUUUCCUCCUUCUUCCUCAAGCUCGAUCUUAAGCUUCAAAACCCUAAACCUUUAACCUGCAAUCCAAACACAAAACUAGAGCCCCAAAACAAAAAGGAUCUAGAUCAAUCUUUGUUGAUUAGAGAUAAACAAAAAACACAUAAUGAACACAAGAGAUUUGAUCUUCGAGUUCAUCCUAAAAUUAAAGCUAUGUCCCUGUCAAGCUCGCCUCAGAGAUGCUUGAUCGUUCACUAUCAAUCAUCAACAUGUUACAAGAAUUAGAUGGAGAUUCCAGCUACAAAUCACAGCAGCUACUUCUCUCUCUUACUGAGAUGCGAGUCUUGAUCAGGUAGUUCUGAACACGAGGUCUCAUUCCUUUUAUAGAGAUAUAUGUUAUUAGUGAAGAGUAGAUUAAUUCGUUGCUGAGUUGGAUAGAAAUUAGAAUGUUGUAACUGAUUUUGUUUUUGUUGUAGCUCUUUCAUUAUGUUUGUAACUGUAAUAAGUAGUUGAUAGUGCUUGUAAGGGAUUGCUUGUAUGGGAUCUGAAAUUGGAUGGAUGGGAAAUUUGGAAGAAGUUUAAGAAAUGGAAUUAAUGUAUGAUAUGGUGUGAUUUAAGCUUAAAUAUACUUAUAUUAGUAGAGAGUGAUUGAAUAAUGCUUAUGGAGUGGAUUUCUUUUGCAUAAAAAUAUUAUUUAUUGUGUAGGGACUAAUUUAAAACAAAAUAAUUUGGCAAGUA